UCUGUGUGUCGCAACUGGCGUAGCACGAAGAUGGGUCACCAUCGGGGAGCGACUGACACGGUUAGUGGCCGCACGCCUGGGCCGCACAU
rfam:Cryobacterium roopkundense strain RuG17 contig00063, whole genome shotgun sequence.